UACGUAGGGUGCAAGCGUUAAUCGGAAUUACUGGGCGUAAAGCGUGCGCAGGCGGUUGUGCAAGACAGAUGUGAAAUCCCCGGGCUUAACCUGGGAACUGCAUUUGUGACUGCACGGCUGGAGUGCGGCAGAGGGGGGAUGGAAUUCCGCGUGUAGCAGUGAAAUGCGUAGAUAUCUGGAGGAACACCGGUGGCGAAGGCGGCAUCCUGGACCGGCAUUGACGCUGAGGCGCGAAAGCCAGGGGAGCAAACGGG
rnacentral:rRNA from 1 species